AGAGUUUGAUCAUGGCUCAGGAUGAACGCUAGCUGCAGGCUUAACACAUGCAAGUCGAGGGGAAACGACAUCGAAAGCUUGCUUUUGAUGGGCGUCGACCGGCGCACGGGUGAGUAACGCGUAUCCAACCUGCCCACCACUUGGGGAUAACCUUGCGAAAGUAAGACUAAUACCCAAUGACGCCUCUAGAAGACAUCUGAAGGAGAUUAAAGAUUUAUCGGUGAUGGAUGGGGAUGCGUCUGAUUAGCUUGUUGGCGGGGUAACGCCACAAGGCGACGAUCAGUAGGGGUUCUGAGAGGAAGGUCCCCCANAUUGGAACUGAGACACGGUCCAAACUCAUACGGGAGCA
rnacentral:rRNA from 1 species